rnacentral:lncRNA from 1 species
GACACAAACCCCUGUGCCCUCUGAGUGCACCAGAGCUCGUUCUGCCCAGGGAACCUGGACCUUCGCCCUGUAGAAAGGGUGCAGUUUGCACAGCCUCUCCAACCUUUGAUAGAUUUGCUACCACUCUGCUAAGGCCCUCUCCUGGUUCACCCUGAAGACUCAUCUCAUUAGCCUCUGCCAAAAGGAGAUGGCCAGCCUAGAACCCAGAUCAGACCCUACUCCUGGAUGCCUCUGUAUCAAGAUAUAGAACCCUUGGCUCUUCCACUACCAUGUCUGCCUGCAUGAUGCCAUGCUUCCUGCCAAGAUGACAAUGGACUGAACCUCUGAAACUAUAAGCCAGACCCAAUUAAAUCCUUUCCUUUAUAAGA